CCUACGGGAGGCUGCAGUCGAGAAUCAUUCACAAUGGGGGAAACCCUGAUGGUGCGACGCCGCGUGGGGGAAUGAAGGUCUUCGGAUUGUAAACCCCUGUCAUGUGGGAGCAAAUUAAAAAGAUAGUACCACAAGAGGAAGACUCGGCUAACUUUGUUCCACCAGCCGCGGUAAUACAGAGGUUUCAAGCGUUUGUCGGAAUCACUGGUCCUAAAGCGAGCGUUGGCGGGUUGGUAAGUCGGGUGUGAAAGGUGCGGGCUCAACCCGCGAAGGGCAAAUGAUACUGCGAGACUAGAGUACAGGAGGGGGAAGCGGAAUUCGCGGUGUAGCAGUGAAAUGCGUAGAUAUCGAGAGGAACACUCGUGGCGAAGGCGGGUUCCUGGACAGUAACUGACGCUGAGGCACGAAGGCGAGGGGAGCGAAAGGGAUUAGAUACCCGGGUAGUC
rnacentral:rRNA from 1 species